rnacentral:rRNA from 1 species
UACGUAGGGUGCAAGCGUUAAUCGGAAUUACUGGGCGUAAAGCGUGCGCAGGCGGCUUUGCAAGCCAGAUGUGAAAUCCCCGGGCUCAACCUGGGAACUGCAUUUGUGACUGCAAGGCUGGAGUACGGUAGAGGGGGAUGGAAUUCCGCGUGUAGCAGUGAAAUGCGUAGAUAUGCGGAGGAACACCGAUGGCGAAGGCAAUCCCCUGGACCUGUACUGACGCUCAUGCACGAAAGCGUGGGGAGCAAACAGG